rnacentral:lncRNA from 1 species
AUGGGACUGCGGAUGCUGGGAGCUGCGGGAAGGCAGCGAGGCACCAGGACACUCAGUGCCGAUGGUGACUCCCAGGGCUCCACUUUGACCUUGACCACCCACCUCUUGCUGACCAGCCUGGAGCACGUCCGACCCCCUGUGAUUCUCUCUCGUGUUUUAUCCCAGAGGAGCCUCAUGCCCUCAGCCCCAGCUCCCCGUGGCUUUCUGUGCCCCCAUCCCACCGUGUGCCGGGUGGGAGAGCACCCGGAGCUCUGCCACCUCCUGGAGUCCCUGUGGGGGACUUUUGCUCAGGUGGCGUGUCCCUGCACAUCCCUCCCGCAGGUGCCUUUCUCCUCCCUUUCAAGCCAUCCUAAGGGAUGUCCUGCCCUAAGCAUCGCAUCCUCCACUCGGCCAGCGGCUCCUCUCCCCCAUCCCUCCAGCCGGCCGGGACCUCUCGGCUCUCCAGCAGCCAGAGCCGGGUGCGGAGAGCAGAGGGGGGCAAAGGGGGGCAGAGGGGGGCAAAGGGGGGCAGAGGGGGGCUUGCUGCUUGCUCCGAGGGACCUGCAAACGGGACCGAGCUCUCCACAGCCUCGUUCAUCCCAGAGAGCGGAGGAGCCCUCAAAAAGCGGGGGAGUAUCAUGCCCAUUUUGCUGGCACAGUUUGUUCUGCGAAGCUUCGACUCUGAGUUGAUAACAACACUGAAAAUGAACCACCGGUAUCUUUCCUUGCACUAGAGAAAAAAAUCCAGAUAUUUACUGAAAAAUGCUCUAUUACAGUGACCAACAGGUUUCACUUUAAUGUUUGGACUUUUAUGAGACUAUGCUUUUUGAGCCUAACUCUUAGAAAACCUUUAUUCUCUUUUUAUUUACUUUUUUUUUUUUUUUUUUUUUUUCUGUCAAAAUAUUUCUUUCAUGUUAAAUUGCAAAGUCAUAUUGAUUUCUGGUGGGGUUUUGUUUUGAUUCUUGAAAUGAAACCUCAUUCCAGCAGCUCUAUUUUUGCCUCUAUUUUCUGCUUCAGGGAAUCACAAAUGCUCUCAUCUGAGUGACUGGGAGAUAAAACUUGGUAAAGAGGAAUUUAUUUGUGCUUCCAGUGCCACAUUUCAAGCUGUGACUCAGGCUGGUCAACUUUCAAUAAAACUUUUUUUGGAGCAACGUAUCCCCCA